GAUGAAGAACGUAGCGAAAUGCGAUAAGUAGUGUGAAUUGCAGAAUUCAGUGAAUCAUCGAAUCUUUGAACGCACAUUGCGCCCCUUGGUAUCCCGAGGGGCAUGCCUAUUCGAGCGUCAUUUCACCACUCAAGCCUGGCUUGGUGUUGGGCGACGUCCUCUUUGGGGACGCGCCUCGAAACGCUCGGCGGCGUGGCACCGGCUUUAAGCGUAGCAGAAUCUUUCGCUUUGGAAGUCGGGGCCCCGUCUGCCGGAAGACCUGCUCGCAAGGUUGACCUCGGAUCAGGCAGGGAUACCCGCUGAACUUAAGCAUAUCAAUAAGCGGAGGA
rnacentral:misc_RNA from 1 species